CCUGAGAGCUCUCGUCUGAUCGUCUCUCAUUGUGGAGUGUGUGGUUGUGCAAUUGUGUCAUAUUCAUCGUGACGGUAGAACAUCAUAAAAGAGCAAAAUCUUUCCAGGGUUUCUCGUGUUUGUCUCCUCCUAACUCAUAUCUUUCGAUUAAGAGCUGAGAUCGGAGGCUUACUAGAUUUUUAACUUUUGAAGCUCAAAUACCGAUUGAUCGACUUUGUGAGUUAUCUGGUGAAUUCAUUAGCUCAUUCCUAUCUAGGCAUCUGACAAUUUUUUUGUUUGGAAGAUUUACAAAUGCACCACUAAAGUCCUAUGGAUCUACAAGCUUUUUGCAUUUUCAAUUUGGAAGAUUUACAUAUAUACCAAUAUCAUUAGUGAGCCCAUGAAAAGCGUUGAUCCUUUCAGCAGAAAAUUCGACCUGCUUACCUCUCACCAAGAUGUGAUCUUCAACAAUUUUAGAUCACCAAACCAUAAAUUGCACAAAAAGAGAAAAAAUUGAGUGUUUUUUUUUUGUGUUUGAGAUGUAAAUGUGCUAUAAAUUGGUCUGCUGUAAUUUUUUGUUGAUGUUUUAAAUGUGU